rnacentral:rRNA from 1 species
GACGAACGCUGGCGGCGUGCUUAACACAUGCAAGUCGAACGGUAAGGCUCCAGCUUGCUGGGGUACACGAGUGGCGAACGGGUGAGUAACACGUGGGUGACCUGCCCUGCACUUCGGGAUAAGCCUGGGAAACUGGGUCUAAUACCGGAUAGGACCGCACCGUGAGGGUGUGGUGGAAAGUUUUUUCGGUGUGGGAUGGGCCCGCGGCCUAUCAGCUUGUUGGUGGGGUAAUGGCCUACCAAGGCGGCGACGGGUAGCCGGCCUGAGAGGGUGGACGGCCACAUUGGGACUGAGACACGGCCCAGACUCCUACGGGAGGCAGCAGUGGGGAAUAUUGCACAAUGGGCGGAAGCCUGAUGCAGCGACGCCGCGUGGGGGAUGACGGCCUUCGGGUUGUAAACUCCUUUCACCAUCGACGAAGGGUUUCUGACGGUAGAUGGAGAAGAAGCACCGGCUAACUACGUGCCAGCAGCCGCGGUAAUACGUAGGGUGCGAGCGUUGUCCGGAAUUACUGGGCGUAAAGAGCUCGUAGGUGGUUUGUCGCGUCGUCUGUGAAAUUCCGGGGCUUAACUCCGGGCGUGCAGGCGAUACGGGCAUAACUUGAGUACUGUAGGGGAGACUGGAAUUCCUGGUGUAGCGGUGAAAUGCGCAGAUAUCAGGAGGAACACCGGUGGCGAAGGCGGGUCUCUGGGCAGUAACUGACGCUGAGGAGCGAAAGCAUGGGGAGCGAACAGGAUUAGAUACCCUGGUAGUCCAUGCCGUAAACGGUGGGCGCUAGGUGUGGGUUUCCUUCCACGGGAUCCGUGCCGUAGCAAACGCAUUAAGCGCCCCGCCUGGGGAGUACGGCCGCAAGGCUAAAACUCAAAGGAAUUGACGGGGGCCCGCACAAGCGGCGGAGCAUGUGGAUUAAUUCGAUGCAACGCGAAGAACCUUACCUGGGCUUGACAUAUACAGGAUCGCGCCAGAGAUGGUGUUUCCCUUGUGGCUUGUAUACAGGUGGUGCAUGGUUGUCGUCAGCUCGUGUCGUGAGAUGUUGGGUUAAGUCCCGCAACGAGCGCAACCCUUGUCUUAUGUUGCCAGCACGUUGUGGUGGGGACUCGUAAGAAACUGCCGGGGUUAACUCGGAGGAAGGUGGGGAUGACGUCAAAUCAUCAUGCCCCUUAUGUCCAGGGCUUCACACAUGCUACAAUGGUCGGUACAGUGGGUUGCCAGUCCGUGAGGGCGAGCUAAUCCCGCAAAGCCGGUCUCAGUUCGGAUCGGGGUCUGCAACUCGACCCCGUGAAGUCGGAGUCGCUAGUAAUCGCAGAUCAGCAACGCUGCGGUGAAUACGUUCCCGGGCCU